rnacentral:rRNA from 1 species
GAUGAACGCUAGCGGCAGGCCUAACACAUGCAAGUCGAGGGAGAAGCCCUUUCGAGGGCAGAAACCGGCGCACGGGUGCGUAACGCGUAUGCAACCUACCUUCCACAGGGGGAUAGCCCGAAGAAAUUUGGAUUAAUACCCCAUAAUAUUAUUGGAUGGCAUCAUUUGAUAAUUAAAACUGCGGUGGUGAAAGAUGGGCAUGCGUCCUACUAGCUAGUUGGAGUGGUAACGGCACCCCAAGGCUACGAUAGGUAGGGGUCCUGAGAGGGAGAUCCCCCACACUGGUACUGAGACAGGGACCAGACUCCUACGGGAGGCAGCAGUGAGGAAUAUUGGUCAAUGGUCGGAAGACUGAACCAGCCAUGCCGCGUGCAGGAAGAAUGCCUUAUGGGUUGUAAACUGCUUUUAGAUGGGAAGAAUAAGGUGUACGUGUACAUUGAUGACGGUACCAUAUGAAUAAGCAUCGGCUAACUCCGUG